AGAGUUUGAUCAUGGCUCAGAACGAACGCUGGCGGCGUGCCUAACACAUGCAAGUCGAACGAGAAGUACGUAGCAAUACGUAUUGUAAAGUGGCGCACGGGUGAGUAACACGUGGGUAAUCUGCCCUUGAGUUUGGGAUAACCCCGCGAAAGCGGGGCUAAUACCGAAUAAGACCACGGGGACCAAAGUCUCUGAGGUAAAAGGUGGCCUCUAUUUAUAAGCUACCACUUGAGGAUGAGCCCGCGGCCCAUUAGCUAGUUGGCGGGGUAACGGCCCACCAAGGCUAUGAUGGGUAGCUGGUCUGAGAGGACGAUCAGCCACACUGGAACUGAGACACGGUCCAGACUCCUACGGGAGGCAGCAGUGGGGAAUAUUGCGCAAUGGGCGAAAGCCUGACGCAGCAACGCCGCGUGGGGGAUGAAGGUUCUCGGAUUGUAAACCCCUUUCGACCGGAACGAAUCCCCUCUUGGUAAAUAAUCAGGAGGAUCGACGGUACCGGGAGAAGAAGCCACGGCUAACUCUGUGCCAGCAGCCGCGGUAAGACAGAGGUGGCUAGCGUUGUUCGGAUUUAUUGGGCGUAAAGCGUACGCAGGCGGUUUGGUAAGUCAGAGGUGAAAGCCCACAGCUUAACUGUGGCACUGCCUUUGAUACUGCCUUUCUUGAGUAGAGUAGGGGGAAGCGGAAUUCCGAGUGUGGAGGUGAAAUUCGUAGAUAUUGGGAAGAACACCGGUGGCGAAGGCGGCUCUCUGGACCGAGACUGACGCUGAGGCGCGAAAGCGUGGGGAGCAAACAGGAUUAGAUACCCUAGUAGUCC
rnacentral:rRNA from 1 species